rnacentral:rRNA from 1 species
UACGGAGGGUGCAAGCGUUAUCCGGAUUCACUGGGUUUAAAGGGAGCGUAGGUGGGUUGGUAAGUCAGUGGUGAAAUCUCUGAGCUUAACUCGGAAACUGCCAUUGAUACUAUCAAUCUUGAAUACCGUGGAGGUCAACGGAAUAUGUCAUGUAGCGGUGAAAUGCUUAGAUAUGACAUAGAACACCAAUUGCGAAGGCAGUUGGCUACACGAAUAUUGACACUCAGGCUCGAAAGCGUGGGGAUCAAACAGG